rnacentral:rRNA from 1 species
AUGGUAGUAACGGGUAACGGGGAAUUAGGGUUCGAUUCCGGAGAGGGAGCCUGAGAAACGGCUACCACAUCCAAGGAAGGCAGCAGGCGCGCAAAUUACCCAAUCCCGACACGGGGAGGUAGUGACAAUAAAUAACAAUCCGGGGCUCUUUCGGGUCCCGUAAUUGGAAUGAGUACAAUUUAAAUCCCUUAACGAGGAACAAUUGGAGGGCAAGUCUGGUGCCAGCAGCCGCGGUAAUUCCAGCUCCAAUAGCGUAUAUUAAAGUUGUUGCAGUUAAAAAGCUCGUAGUUGAAUUUCGGGAUUGGCGCAUCGGUCGCGCCUCACGGGGUAUGAACUGGUGCAGUCAAUUUCUCACCUUCUGGAGAACCGCGAUGUCCUUAAUUGGGUGCCGCGGGGAACCAGGACCUUUACUUUGAAAAAAUUAGAGUGUUUAAAGCAGGCAUUUUUGCUUGAAUACAUUAGCAUGGAAUAAUAAAAUAGGACGGCAUGGUUCUAUUUUGUUGGUUUCUAGGACCACCGUAAUGAUUAAUAGGGAUAGUUGGGGGCAUUAGUAUUCAAUUGUCAGAGGUGAAAUUCUUGGAUUUAUUGAAGACUAACUACUGCGAAAGCAUUUGCCGAGGAUGUUUUCAUUAAUCAAGAACGAAAGUUAGGGGAUCGAAGACGAUCAGAUACCGUCGUAGUCUUAACCAUAAACUAUGCCGA